GACGAACGCUGGCGGCGUGCUUAACACAUGCAAGUCGAGCGGAAAGGCCCUGCUUUUGUGGGGUGCUCGAGUGGCGAACGGGUGAGUAACACGUGAGUAACCUGCCCUUGACUUUGGGAUAACUUCGGGAAACUGGGGCUAAUACCGGAUAGGAGCUCCUGCUGCAUGGUGGGGGUUGGAAAGUUUCGGCGGUUGGGGAUGGACUCGCGGCUUAUCAGCUUGUUGGUGGGGUAGUGGCUUACCAAGGCUUUGACGGGUAGCCGGCCUGAGAGGGUGACCGGCCACAUUGGGACUGAGAUACGGCCCAGACUCCUACGGGAGGCAGCAGUGGGGAAUAUUGCACAAUGGGCGGAAGCCUGAUGCAGCAACGCCGCGUGCGGGAUGACGGCCUUCGGGUUGUAAACCGCUUUCGCCUGUGACGAAGCGUGAGUGACGGUAAUGGGUAAAGAAGCACCGGCUAACUACGUG
rnacentral:rRNA from 1 species